rnacentral:rRNA from 1 species
UACGUAGGGCGCAAGCGUUGUCCGGAUUCACUGGGUGUAAAGGGUGCGCAGGCGGACUGGCAAGUCGGGGGUGAAAUCUCACAGCUCAACUGUGAAACUGCCUUUGAUACUGCUGGUCUUGAGUCAGGGAGAGGUGAGUGGAAUUCCUAGUGUAGAGGUGAAAUUCGUAGAUAUUAGGAAGAACACCAGUGGCGAAGGCGGCUCACUGGCCCGGUACUGACGCUCAUGUGCGAAAGCGUGGGGAGCAAACAGG